UUUUUUUUCUUUUGAGAUGGUAAAAUUAGUAUUUUUUUUUUCUAGAGAUAGGUAGCAUGCUAUUCGCUUCGUUUAUUUCAUUUAGAAAUAAACUUAGCUAAAAAUGUGAAUCAAACAGGAUUCGAAUUUGGACCUUGGGUACCAAUCAUUAAAUUCUUUGACACUUGCGUUAUGUACGAUUGAUUUUUUUGGUUUUUGAUGGUGUCAUUUUUGAAGGUUUAUAUCUCUGUAUAUUGGUUAUUUCAGAAUGAAUGCCAUUUCUGUGGAAUUCUGAAGGCCGGUGAAUGCCGAGGUCGUUCAACUCAAAACGCUCGUGCAAAUGUGCGCAUGAUUAUUAAAUGUGUGGCUCGGUCUUGGACUGUGUAUUCCAAAAUUCUGUAGAUGGUGUGUUGCGCCCUGGUAUACUCUCCCAGUGGUUGAUUAUUAUCUCCAGAAGCAUCCACAUAGAGAGAGCAAGAAAAAAAAGAGAUUAUUAUUGUCUCCAAGAAUGAAUGUGGAAACAAAGCAGCGCCCAUUAUUCCACCACAUAUGCCCUGCAUUGGUACCGUCGCCAACGUCAUUGAUAUGAUGGGUGCCGUCUAUUUCUGCUUGAGCUAAGGGUAGAAAAUAUGUGCGCAUAAUCUUCUUGCCGCAUUACUGUUGUCAAAGUCAUUGUCGUGAUGGGAGAAGUCUCCUUAAGCUGAGGGUGUGUUUGGUUCCACGUAAAACUAUAGAAAAAAAAUUUUUUAUGAAAAAAAAUUUUACGUGAUUUAAUAUUUGGUUUGUAGGAAAAAAUUUUUUUUUUUUCAUGACAGUUAUUUGGUUGAAAGAAAAAAAAAUAGAUAAAAAACUAUUUAAUAUAUUUUUUUAUUAUAUAUAUUAUUAAUAAUAUUAUAAUUAUUAUAUAUAUAUUCUCUAAUUAUAUAUAUUAUAUAUUAUUAAUAUAUAAUAGGACUUGGUAUCCAAUCCAGUUUCAAAUUCUUUUACAGCCUUUAUAGUAGGCUUAUUGCCAGUUAGAGCAUAUGAGCUAGAUGGCGCCUGGAGAGUGUACAGGUUCAAAUUAAUUUACCCAAUGCAUUAUUUAUAAUGCUCCAACUAGAAUGUACCCAAUUCUAGUAUAUUUAGGAUUUCUACUCCAAUUAAUAUCUAAAUCUAUCUUAAUUAAUCUCUAAUAGAUUUAAAUAUUAAUCCUAAUCUAGUUAGGUUUAUCCUCUAAUUAAUAUUUAAAUCUUAACAGAUUUAAAAUAUUAAUUAUUAUCCAAAUAGGAUUCAAUUACAAAUCUAACCAAAUCCUAGCAAUCUUCACCUUGGUUGAAUUUGUAAUCUUCAACCGUCACGUCGAGCUCACCAUGCAAGCUCCACCUUGAGCUUGUCUCCUCCGCUCGAUGUCGCCGCGUCCGUCGCUUCGCCUCGAGCGACUGCACCUCCGCGAACUUUCGGAACCCAAACCGUCUUCGCUCCCGUUCUGACUGUGCUUCCGUUCAGAACGUAUAAGUUCCCGCACUUGUUCGCCUCGCACACGACCCGAUUUCGCUUUCGGACUUUCAUAGCUCCACCUAAAGCCGAAAUAUCGCAACCCUUCGAGUCCAAUGCGCCUAACGAGAUCAAAUUUCGCUUCAAUCCAGGAACGUGCCGCACACCUGUCAGCGUCCUUACAACCCCAUCGUGCAUUCAGAUUUUCACCAUGCCGACUCCCAAUACUUUGCACGCUGUCUCGUUCCCCAUCAGCGCCUUUCCACCUUUGAUCGCCUUAUAGGUUGUAAAAGACUCAUUCUCCGGGCAUACGUGAAAAGAACACGCCGAAUCGAGCACCCACGCGUCAUCCGAAAUUUUCGCACCUCCGGUCGCCGCAUAUAGCACAUCAGAAUCGAACAUCUCCGACUCUGCCGUCUGUGCCGUCGCUGAUACCGUCUCGUCCUGGUUCACGACAGUUUUCUCCUUCUGUCGCUUUAACUCCUUCAGAUCAUCCUGAAGUUUUCGACAAUUGCGCUUGAUAUGCCCUUUCCUGUGACAGUAAAAGCACUCCACCUCAGAUAGCGGCUUCUUCUGUCGAUCUCCGGNCCCGCCAACUAAUAUUUUUUAUAAAAUUAUAAUAUUAUUAAUAUUUUGUAAAAUAUAAAUUAAUAAUUUUUAAUAAUAUUAUAUAUAUAAUUUAAGAAUAUUAAUGAUAAAAAUUAAAAAUAUCAAUCACAAUUCAAAAUAAAAUUCAAAUAUUUCAAAUACAUUAGAAAUGAGAGAAAUGUGCGUACGUUUCGCGCGAGCGCGCAUGUUACUUGCGGGUUUCGAAGCCGAACGUUGGUGCAACGUUCAAAUUCUACGUGGACUCCCACACCUUUAUAUAUAUUUAUAUUUUUUUACUGUUGUUCAUGAAUAAAUAGUAUGAACAUCAACUGAGAAAGAAAAAAAAAAGUGAUUGCUCGAGAUCCUUCGAAGCAGAAUUUUGGAGAGUAGAUUAUUUUAAUAUUUUAUUUUAAUUUUAUUUUCGGGUGUUAAAAGAGUUUUCGUCAAUCUCUUUCACAUUCGUCCUCAUAGGAGGAAAAAUUCCGGUCGUAUUUUGGAAUGGUGUUUCCAGUUAAUCCCGCACAAAGGACGGGAAUACACCCUAGGGCAGUACCUCGCAUGCUUUCGGAUUAAUCAAAAUUUUUAUUUGAAUAUUAGUAUUUAUAUGUAAAUUGAUUUAUUUAUUUUCAUCACAAAAUUAGUUAAAUUCUAAUCACAAUCAGAUUUUCAGUGCGGUAUUUCUCCGACCCAAUCUAACUGCUUUAGGAAAGAAGAUUAGAAAAGUUCAUGCAAGACUCCGGAAGAUUGUUCUAGAGGGCUAGGGUAUACUUGUUUUUUUUCUUUUGAGAUGGUAAAAUUAGUAUUUUUUUUUUCUAGAGAUAGGUAGCAUGCUAUUCGCUUCGUUUAUUUCAUUUAGAAAUAAACUUAGCUAAAAAUGUGAAUCAAACAGGAUUCGAAUUUGGACCUUGGGUACCAAUCAUUAAAUUCUUUGACACUUGCGUUAUGUACGAUUGAUUUUUUUGGUUUUUGAUGGUGUCAUUUUUGAAGGUUUAUAU
rnacentral:lncRNA from 1 species